GGCCUAACACAUGCAAGUCGAGGGGCGAGCACAAGGAGCAAUCUGAGGUGGCGACCGGCGCACGGGUGAGUAACACGUAUGCAACCUGCCUGUAAGCGGGGAAUAACCCGUUGAAAGACGGACUAAUACCGCAUAAUACUAAAUUACUGCAUGGUAAUUUAUUUAAACAUUUAUGGCUUACAGAUGGGCAUGCGCAUGAUUAGCUAGUUGGAGAGGUAACGGCUCCCCAAGGCAACGAUCAUUAGGGGUUCUGAGGGGAAGGUCCCCCACACUGGUACUGAGACACGGACCAGACUCCUACGGGAGGCAGCAGUGAGGAAUAUUGGUCAAUGGACGAGAGUCUGAACCAGCCAAGUCGCGUGCAGGAAGAAUGUUCCCUAUGGAUUGUAAACUGCUUUUGCAGGGGAAUAAAGUGCAUCACGUGUGAUGUUUUGUAUGUACUCUGCGAAUAAGGAUCGGCUAACUCCGUGCCAGCCGCCGC
rnacentral:rRNA from 1 species